UCUGACAUUAUUUUAUUUCAAAGGAAGAUUCAUGAAGAAUUGCCGUAAUAUAACAAACAUAACAAGUGUGAGACCCAUAUCAAGAAGCUCUUUAAUUUCGGCAACCAGAUAGUUCAUCGUUAGUCCAUAGUACGAUGUAUCUAGAGUCCUCUAUGAUAUCUUGUUUAACACCCAACAGCUCAGAGAUGGUCUUAAAAUGGGACAUGGGACACACAGAGUUAUUGUACAUUGAUAACAACACAUCGCAUCUAAUAUUGUCAUACAAAAAAUGCUUCCAUAGGAAGUAGAUCAAUUGUCAAUAUAUAAUAAUAUCGAGAUAAAUAUGUAUAUAAAAUGAAAAACUUAAAUAAAGAACUAAAUGCAAUUAAAGGUCAGGUUUAGCUGGAGUUGGUGUGCAAUAUAGAUUCAUGGACUCUAUUGCACUUUAUUGUGAACUGUUUGUGUUAAUUGCGUCAUGCAUGAAUAAAAUGUCCAUGGAUAGUGUGCUGGAUACGUUACAACGAACAUGACACCAUACAGCACAUUUCUCUUAACUACAAAAAAAAGUUAUUUGAUUUAAAUAUUUUAUUUUUCUGAAUUACUAAUAAGAAGUGAAGACCAUGCUAUUGCGCAGCUUUACCCCGUCCACUGUGCCUUUUAUUGAUGGCUGGAUUCCCUGCUAGAAGGCUCAGAAACCAAUUAUGUCAAGAUUUGGCGAUAAUUUGAUAAACAUAUAACUGGGUAUAGACCACUGGUAGGAUUCCUGAUGUCUCCCAUUAGCUUUGCACCGGGCCAUCAAAUGCUCUGUUAAUAUUUAGGGAAGUGUAUUGGGAUUGUAGGAGUUAUUGUGCAAUUUAGGGGUCAAUGUUUAGGGGAUAAUAUUCGUGUAUUGCAGGGUUAAUGUGUAGUAUAGUUUACUAGUGUAGUGUAGGGGUUAAGGUGUAAUUUAGUGUAUUAGGGUAGUGCAGGGGUUAAUAUGCAACAUAGUUUAGUAUGGUAGUGUAGAGGUUAAUGUAUUAUAAAGUUUAUUAGGGUGGUGCUGGGGUUAAUGUGUAACAGUGUAUUAUAAUAAUAUAGUUUGUAAGGGGAGGUCUUUAAUAUAAGGGGAGCACAUGGAAAUUAAAAAUUAAAUUGGUGGCAGGUACCUCUCUGGAAUGUAAAUCUCAAGCAGAUUGACACAUAUAUGUAUUGCAUUGUAUGUUAUUGUAUGCUAAUAAUCAAAUUAUUACAGAUAUUAAUAGACUGACAAGGAUAUAUAACAUUAGGCAAAGGUGACUCUCUACCCCCAUCUAACACAUCAUCCCCACCAUGCUACUGCCAAAGUAUUCAGAAUUCUUGCUACACUUGUAUCCCAAAAUGGAUCUCCUCCCCGAUGACACUAAUACGAUGAUCGUGUCCAAUCUCAUUUCAGAGUGAGUUACUGGACAUCUUUAACAAGCGCUCUAAAGACUAUUAACGGAGCAGGCUGUGUCCUUUAUCUGCAGACACUUCAGGGCUGACAGAUAGAAUGGUAGCAAACUGAUGGACUCUCGUAUCUGCCACGGAGCGUGAUUGAAAAGAAACCCACAGCUGUAAUUACAGUCUGCAGAAAUGCCUUAGGAUACAUUAGAUGAACUGCUUCCAGCCAAAUGCACAGGUUAGCAGGAAAGAAGCUUAGAUUGCUUCGAUACCGGCAGGUGUGCAGAGAUCUCAGCACAGGUGUGUUGUAGAACAUUGGGAUUUAAAUAAUCUGCUAAAUCUGUUCUUUCUCUCCCAAAGUAUGGAAGAAGAUCUAGCAACGGAUAUAAUAUUGUAUUUUACCAGAAACCUGAACAUUUAUUGAAGCUUUCUUUCCAAAAAGGGGCAUUUAACAGAAAAAGAAUAUAAAAUGUUAUCUCCCGGAAGACUGACAAUUUGUGCUAUAUAUUGUGAAAUUGAUUUUAUUUCGGGAGGUCUGGUAAAUCAUAUUUUUAUAUUAAGUAGUGUUUCGAUACAUUGUUCUACUCGUCUAAAAGGUCCAGCUUAUUUCAUUGGUAAAAACUGUAUUGUAACAGAGCAAUCGAUUGUAGGUUAUUGGCUAAACUUUACCUUCAAUAUAUGGAAUGUAUAGAUUUAUUAACUCUCCACCCCCUAUGGGCUUUAUAAAUUAAUUUUUGCAGAAACUGAAGUAAAAAACAACAACAUUGCAAUUUCAAAUACAACAAAGUAAUUACCAGUGUACAAAUGACAGCCAACAUAACGGAAAUAUUUUUUUAAAAAAUAAGUGUUUUCGGUCUUUUUUUUCUUACACAGAAGGUAGACUUGUUCAUCCAUUGUUCUUUAAAGUCUUUGCAGGACCAAAUCCAGCAUUUUUUGUUUUCAUCAAGCUUAACGUCUUUGAAAACAUAAUUUACAACAUUCUUUAGACACAAAUGUUGCCCUUUUGCCUAAAUUAGGGCAGAUAGUCUUCGGUUCUAAAAAUCCCAUUGUAUUAAACUUGGACAAUCCAUUGUUUUCUACACAGUAAAAUGUUUCACUCACAGUAACACAUUGGGUCCACUUGAGGGAAAUCCAUCGCAUUUUACUUAGGGAAACCCAUUGCAUUUCACUCAGGAAAACACAUCACAUUUUACUUAGGCAAACCCAUCGCAUUUCACUCAGGGAAACACAUCGUAUUUAACUCAAAGCUCAUCUACAAGGCUUCCAGUAUCAAAUCCUAAAUAAAUCACCCCCCCAACCCCAAAAGUGCAGUGGCAUUUAAUGGACAAGGUCACUGUUAGAUCCAGCUUUGUGCGUUAGACUUGAAAGUGCUACUCAUAUAAAGAAUGUUCUUUGUGAAAAUUAACCACGAAAACUGACUGCUACAAUAUAUUUAUAACCAUGUAAAAUAAAUAAACACAUUCUUUUUUUGACCCUGUGAUUUAUCUUGCUAGAUAUCUUCUGACUCAUUUUAUAUAUAUAUAUGUAUUUAUAUCAAAACGUAUGAAAUACAUUAUUACAGAACUUAUUCUUUCAGAUUGCAUCUUAACAUCCAUAUAUUUGCUUUUUGAAAUAGCUGCUCUUUCUAUUAAAACUUGCACACAUAUAAUAUCAUUAUUAACGCGCACACAUAUAAUAUCAUUAUAUAAUAUCCUUUACAGCGACAAGUUGUAUAGUAGUCAAGAGAUAUGAGAGGUGUCCAGUAGUCUGGACAUCUUUGUGUUUCAGACCCACAUUAUUUACAACACAUUCUGAUUGUCUUGAACGUUUUGUUUUCAGAAUUAGUCAGACAGGUCUCUUUCUGUUUUGUCCUGAAAUACAUUAAGUAUGUUUGUUUAGAGCUGAUUGUGCUAAUAUGGUAUAUAGUUAGCAUGAUACAUACAGUUAGUUUAAUAGACUAACAUGAGAUAAACCGACAAUAUCUGUCCAAUUCUUAGUUUGUGCUGAUUUUAUUUCUAUGAACAUUUUUUUUCCCGGUUUUAUACGCCAAAAUCCUUUUUCACACCUUACACUAACUUCAUUUUCCCUUCAUUAAAAAGGGGGAACAUAAAUCUGAUUGCAGUAAAACAUUCUAAUGAAAGAUCAAAUUGUCAAAAUUAGCAAGAAAGCUUAUCUGUCAAACAAGAAUUCAUCCCCAUUUAAAAAGGGUAUUUAAAUGAGGACAACAAAUAUGUAGGUAUUGUCACAUAUGGACACAUACUCCAGACAAGCCACUUCUAUGAAAAGGUCAAUAUCAAUCUCAAUAGAAUAAAGGAUACAAUUAUUCCUAAUGGAAGGUUGAGAUUUGGCAUUUACAUGGAUCUUAGUCACAUUAUAUGAGAGAUAGGUGUCAAUGGAUGCUAAGCUACACUCAUUCUCUAUGUAGAACUUCAUGGUCUACCCAACAAAUUAUUUCAUUGGACAAUUGCAUUGCCACUGGUACAUCACAUUUCACCACUCGCAUCAAAACACAAAGUAAAACCCACAAGUCAUUUUCUCAUUGUAUCUAAUUCGUCACGAACACCUCAAAUUCCAUCUCAUAAUCCAACUACAUUCUCAUUUCAGAGUAGACGUAAAAAAAUCAAGACCAGCUUUAUUGGCCAAUACAACGUCAAACCCAUCGAUCAACAUUCAACUGAUCACAUCUAACAUAUCUCAGGUCAUUUAAAAGACCUCACAUCCUAACAACUUUCUCAUUCUUAAGUCCUCUACAAAAGACCAUUUUAUAAUGUUAAUGUUACAAUGUUAAACCCACGGGCAAUAUUUUUUCUUAAAGCAUCAAAUACCUCAAAAAAAAUAAUGUCUUUCUUAUAGUACAUCCAAGAUGACUUCACAAAUUAAAUCCAGAGAUCAUAUUUCUACUAAUUUCUUCUAACAUCUCAUUUUGAAGACAAAUGAUUGACCCCGUGGGAUAUAUAUAGUAUCCCGACUAGGGUGACCAGUUCCACCAUAUUUACAGGGACACAUAAAAUGUUGUCAUAUUUAUGAAAACGCAUAAAAAGAGUUAAUUGUUUAAUCUUAUAUACUUUUUUCUUAGUUCUACAAAUUACAGGGUUAUACUUUUCAUGUGUUGCCUAUCAAUAUGUAUACAUAAAACAUGGUGAAUCUGGUCACCCAGAUCUCGGUCACUUCAAGGAACUUAAAACUUUCAAUCUAACAAUAUUAUUAUCUCAACAUUUCUCUCACCUUUCAAUAUCAUAUACAUCCUUAAAAAGAAAAUCUUUUCAUCUCCCUCUUUCACAAUCAAAAAAUUCCGUCACACAGACCUAUUUCAUUCGCCCACCGCAGCCCACCACAAGUACCACCACAAAGACUAACAUCAUCAUCCUAUUACCUAACAACUCAUACACCAGAUGACAUGCCACUUAUCAUCUUUGUCCUAUCUUGCAGUCUACCUCACGGAAAAGCUCCAUUCUCCGAAUUUGUAGCAUUUUCUAUAUUUUAUACACUUUUCCGCUGAGAAGUCUUUCUGCUGCGUAACUUAUUCAAAUAAAUAAUGUCAAGUUCAUUAUUAUGUAUAUCAUGCCUCUAUAAUAAUAUAAUGUAAUAAC